rnacentral:rRNA from 1 species
CACGUAGGGCGCAAGCGUUGUCCGGAAUUAUUGGGCGUAAAGAGCUCGUAGGCGGUCUGUUGCGUCUGCCGUGAAAGUCCGGGGCUCAACUCCGGAUCUGCGGUGGGUACGGGCAGACUAGAGUGAUGUAGGGGAGACUGGAAUUCCUGGUGUAGCGGUGAAAUGCGCAGAUAUCAGGAGGAACACCAAUUGCGAAGGCAGCUCACUACACGGUCAUUGACACUGAGGCACGAAAGCGUGGGGAUCAAACAGG